GACGAACGCUGGCGGCGCGCUUAACACAUGCAAGUCGAACGGAAAGGCCUGCUUUCCCUUGUGGAUUGCGGGUACUCGAGUGGCGAACGGGUGAGUAACACGUGAGUGAUCUGCCCCCAACUUGGGUAUAAGCCUGGGAAACUGGGUCUAAUUCCCGAUAGGACUGCAGGGUGGUGCCUGUGGUGGAAAACGAUUUUCUAGUGGUUGGGGAUGAGCUCGCGGCCUAUCAGCUUGUUGGUGGGGUAAUGGCCUACCAAGGCGGCAACGGGUAGCCGGCCUGAGAGGGUGGACGGACACAUUGGGACUGAGAUACGGCCCAGACUCCUACGGGAGGCAGCAGUGGGGAAUAUUGCACAAUGGGCGGAAGCCUGAUGCAGCGACGCCGCGUGGGGGAUGACGGCCUUCGGGUUGUAAACUCCUUUCGACCGCGAGGAAGCCACCUGGUUGGAAGGGUGGUGACGGUAGUGGUAGAAGAAGCACCGGCUAACUACGUG
rnacentral:rRNA from 1 species